UGUUCUAAUAAUCUUAGCUUAAGCCAUGCUUUUUCCAACCCAACGUAACCUAAUUGCCGAUCUUUUUUUCUCCACUGUACACACGCCCUAUUUCUCCUCCUUCUCUCGCCGCGCGUAAUCGCUCAUGCCUUGCAUCGUGCUCACCAUCGUGCUCAUGCCGACUCUUUUUCUCCCUAAUCUGUUCUCACCAUCGUGCUCCUCUCACCCACGCUCACGCAUCCCAUCGUCGUUCCUCUCCCUUUCUCCUCCCUAACCUGCUAUCGCCGUUGCCGCUCUUCUUACCCAAUCUCAUCCAUCCCUGUUGCUUCUCCUCUUGCCAUCGCUGCUCCUCUCACCCAUGCUCACGCAUCCCUGUGGCCGCCGCUGCCAGCCACCGCUGCCGUUGCCAGUCGCCGCUGCCAACCGUCGUCGCCGCUGCCAACCGUCGCCGCCGCCGCCGCCGGCCUCCAUUGUGCGUCUCCACCAUAAUUCCUCUGCAACACUGCCUCCACCGCUAUGAACAAUAGAGGCAAAAGAGACUAAAGGAAGCAUACGGUGGAAGUUUUGGUCUAAGAAACUUGAGGCUUUAAAGAAUUAUUAUGGAUAAGAGCUAGAUCUUUUUACCAAGACAAACUGAGUAUAGAAAUGGUGUUCAAAGGCAAAGGAUAAUGAAUCAGACCACUGAAAGGACAUCUUUUUCUCAAGUUCUACAAAAAUUGGUAAAUAUUCUUAUCAUGUUAUAAGUUUAUGUGCAUUUGAUUAUAGAAACUAGUAAUUAAAUAUAUUUUCGGGAAAAAAAGAAAAAGGGCAUCCUCCAACACAAGUUGAAUUAUUUCAUGCCUAUUUUAUGUGCCUAUUUUUCUCAAGUUGUUUGGUUUUGAGAAACAAAAUGUUUCUAUCCGAAUUGCAGUUCCACAAACAGUAGCUACAUGUAGCUUUUAAUUCAUUGUUUGGUUUUGAGAUUCAUUGUUCAUGUAGCUUUGAAUUAACAUUGUUUGGUUUUGAGAAACAAAAUGUUUCUAUCCGACUUGCAGUUCCACAAACAGUAGCUACAUGUAGCUUUUAAUUCAUUGUUUGGUUUUGAGAUU